rnacentral:tRNA from 1 species
GUUCGCUGUGGUUCAGAUGUAGAGCGUUCGCCUACCAUGCGUGAGGCACUGGGUUCGAUCCCCAGUACCACA